GGGCUUAUGGUUUAGUGGUAUAAUACUCCCUUAGCAUCCGAUGUUCUUCUUCGUUCAAGAACACACGAAACUUGGGAGUGGUCCGGGGUUCGAUUCCCCGCGAGUCCA